ACUGGGCGUAAAGGGCACGCAGGCGGACUUUUAAGUGAGGUGUGAAAUCCCCGGGCUUAACCUGGGAAUUGCAUUUCAGACUGGGGGUCUAGAGUACUUUAGGGAGGGGUAGAAUUCCACGUGUAGCGGUGAAAUGCGUAGAGAUGUGGAGGAAUACCGAAGGCGAAGGCAGCCCCUUGGGAAUGUACUGACGCUCAUGUGCGAAAGCGCGGGGAGCAAACAGGAUUAGAUACCCUGGUAGUCCACGCUGUAAACGCUGUCGAUUUGGGGAUUGGGCUUUAAGCUUGGUGCCCGUAGCUAACGUGAUAAAUCGACCGCCUGGGGAGUACGGCCGCAAGGUUAAAACUCAAAUGAAUUGACGGGGGCCCGCACAAGCGGUGGAGCAUGUGGUUUAAUUCGAUGCAACGCGAAGAACCUUACCUACUCUUGACAUCCAUGGAAUCUUGUAGAGAUACGAGAGUGCCUUCGGGAACCAUGAGACAGGUGCUGCAUGGCUGUCGUCAGCUCGUGUCGUGAG
rnacentral:rRNA from 1 species